ACAAAAGUAGAAAUGAAGAUCUAAUUACUCAAAGUAAAUUUCCUAUUAAUUGAGCUCAUUACUCAAAGUAAAUUCUUCAACUAAAGAAUGAAACGUCAAGAAGAUAGAAAAGAGAGAUAAAUAAUACAUUAAACAAAUUUGAUAUAUUAUUAGAUGAAAGUGAAUAAAAAAUGGAAAUAGACACUGAAAUUGAUUCACAAAGAAAAUGUUAAAACAAAAGCAUUCAAGGAAAUAUAAAUGAACAAAAAUCUGGGCCAAACCCAGCAACAGUCACAAAGAGGUUACCCCUACUAGUGUUGCAUGGUAAUAUAGAAACUCGUAUCAAAUUGAUAAAUAUGCUAAUAUACAACAGUAUUAUUUUAUAUAGACAAGUUUUAUAUAAAAUACUAUCGGAGAAAAACAGAAAUCUUCGCCACAACAUAAAGAGACUCAGUACACUGAAGAAAUAUUUUCAAGACACAAAUAUAAAGAUAUUCACACUUACAAAAGAAGAUUACAAAAGUAGAAAACCUUUGUAAUUAAAGAUCUUCACAAAGCAACAGAACAAACCUCAUAAUUAAACAGCUAGAGAUAUUAAGGUUCGAAUUCAAUAAUAUGAAUCUUAUGAAAAAUACAGAGCCCUGUUUAUGGCCAAAAUUUCAGUAGAAAUUCAAUUUUAUCAACUUUGAUCAACUUAGAAAUAAGAUAAGAUACCUAUAUCAUACCAAUAUCUUUUUGGAAAAUUAUACUACAAAGUAAAGAAUUUCUCAAUGUCACAGAUGUCAGAAGUACAGGCAUGCAACAACAAAUUAUUAUACUGAUUCAGCCUGUUUAAAAUAUGCUAGUAAAAAUAAAAUAAUAAUUUUUAUUAGAGUAAUGACAUCACAUGGUAAUCUGUCCCCAAUCUUUUUUUAUUUUGUGAUUUUAACUGUAUUGUGUCUACAAUAACUUCUUAUAAUAUGUUGAUGAAGCUUUGUUUUCUCCUUUUUAGGUCAUUCAUUGUGUUUAUUUUACGUGUAAUACGUAUAUUGUCAUUUCAUAAUUCUCUGUAGUUAUCCCUAUCAGCAGUAGCGAAAUCAUAUAUUUUUCAUGACAUUAUUUCUGUAAUGUGAUGGAAGUUAUGUUAUUAACAAGUUGGCUCACUUGGAAAUAUUAUACUACAAUUAUUUUUAAGAGAAUACUUAUAAACUGUGUGAUUUCUAUUGUUCUGAAUAUAAUUCAGAUUUAUAUACUUGGCAUUAAGAUUCUCUACAUAUAAGAUAUUAUCUCCAACAUUGAAAUUGUUGGAUUCUAUGUAUCUCAUCAACCACUCACUUAAACUGUCAUACUUUCCUCAAAACUAGAAAAGAGACUUAGUCAUUUCUAUAUGCAAACCAUGCAAAAGGACAACGGAUCUAGGAAGUUGUAGGAUAAUAAGCCUAUUUCCAUCAAUGAAUAAAUUGAUGAAAAAUAUAAUUUUUAAAAAAUUGAAUAAACGUGAAAUAAUCAAACGUAUCAUUACAGAUUAUCAAUAAUGAUAGCACAUAUUUUAAUCAAAGAAAUAUAACUAUACUUCUAUUAUUAGAUAUAAAAAAAACAAGGCCUAGAUCUGAAAAAUGAUAAGAUAUAAAUAUCCAAAUUCAAUUAUAAGAUUAAUUGCUCAUAUUUAAGAAUCGUAGUAAAUGGAAAUAAAUCAAGCAAAUGCAAAAUUAAACCAGGGAUGCACCCUUAGUAAAAUGAUCCCUCAAGGAUCAGUAAUAGGAUCAAAACUACUUAAUAUAUAUGUCAAUGAUUUACCUAUCAUUCCCAAAAGUAAAACAGAACAUUUUACUGAUAAUACUGCGAUUUAUAUUCACGUAACAAUUCUAAUCAAACAAAUACAAGUACUGCCUCCAAGUUUGCCUAACACUGUUUAUGACAAAAGAAUCAAACUAUACAAAAUAUUACAGAAAUGACCAAUUAUUUAAUCAAAUCAACACUUCAUAUAAUAAACCUACAUAGGAAUCGUUUUGUUAAAGAAGUAACUAUUUAAGAAAUCUAUUGCCAGACAUCCUAUACCCAUAACCAACAUACUUUGAAAAAGCCAAACAAAUAGGAUACACAUUAUCUAAAAUAUUCCCGUAUCUAUAUCCUAAUAGACUCAUUAUUAACAUGUCGAGACAUCAACAAUAUCCUAAUAAUUAAUUCGUCUCUUAUGGAAGAUAAUCGAUGAAAUGAAUUACACGUUUAACAUAUAAA